rnacentral:rRNA from 1 species
UACGUAGGGACCAAGCGUUGUUCGGAUUUACUGGGCGUAAAGCGUGCGCAGGCGGUUCGCUGUGUCCUGUGUGAAAGCCCCGGGCUUAACCUGGGAAUGGCAUGGGAAACUGGCGAGCUUGAGUGCGGCAGAGGGGGGUGGAAUUCCGCGUGUAGCAGUGAAAUGCGUAGAGAUGCGGAGGAACACCGAUGGCGAAGGCAGCCCCCUGGGUCGACACUGACGCUCAGGCACGAAAGCGUGGGGAGCAAACAGG